rnacentral:tRNA from 1 species
UUAGUACAAAACAAUAC